rnacentral:rRNA from 1 species
CCGCACAAGCGGUGGAGCAUGUGGUUUAAUCGAAGCAACGCGAAGAACCUUACCAGGUCUUGACAUCCCGAUGCUAUUUCUAGAGAUAGAAAGUUACUUCGGUACAUCGGUGACAGGUGGUGCAUGGUUGUCGUCAGCUCGUGUCGUGAGAUGUUGGGUUAAGUCCCGCAACGAGCGCAACCCCUAUUGUUAGUUGCCAUCAUUCAGUUGGGCACUCUAGCGAGACUGCCGGUAAUAAACCGGAGGAAGUGGGGAUGACGUCAAAUCAUCAUGCCCCUUAUGACCUGGGCUACACACGUGCUACAAUGGUUGGUACAACGAGUUGCGAGUCGGUGACGGCGAGCUAAUCUCUUAAAGCCAAUCUCAGUCCGGAUUGAAGUCUGCAACUCGACUUCAUGAAGGCGGAAUCGCUAGUAACCGCGAAUCAGCAGGUCGCGGUCGAAUACGUUCCCGGGCCUU